GGAGAGUUUGAUCAUGGCUCAGGACGAACGCUGGCGGUGCGCUUAAUGCAUGCAAGUCGAACGAGAACGGCGGCUUCGGUCGCUAAGUAAAGUGGCAGACGGCUGAGUAACACGUAAGUAACCAACCCCGGAGCGGGGGAUAAUCAUGAGAAAUCGUGCCUAAUACCCCGUACGUCCCAACAGGCGUUGCCGUUGGGGGAAAGGCUUCGGUCGCUCUGGGACGGGCUUGCGGCCUAUCAGGUAGUUGGUGGGGUAAAGGCCCACCAAGCCGGAGACGGGUACCCGGUGUGAGAGCACGAACGGGCAGAGGGGGACUGAGACACGGCCCCCACUCCUACGGGAGGCAGCAGCAGGGAAUCUUGCGCAAUGGGCGAAAGCCUGACGCAGCGACACCGCGUGGAGGAAGAAGGCUUUCGGGUCGUAAACUCCUUUUCUCGGGGAAGAGAACGGACGGUACCCGAGGAAUAAGCAUCGGCUAACUACGUGCCAGCAGCCGCGGUAAUACGUAGGAUGCGAGCGUUGUCCGGAUUUACUGGGCGUAAAGGGCGAGUAGGCGGCCCGCUAAGUCUCAUGUGAAAUCUCCCGGCUCAACUGGGAGGGGUCAUGAGAAACUGGCAGGCUUGAGGUCAGCAGAGGAAAGCGGAAUUCCCGGAGUAGCGGUGAUAUGCGUAGAUACCGGGAGGAACACCAGAGGCGAAGGCGGCUUUCUGGGCUGCACCUGACGCUGAGGCGCGAAAGCGUGGGGAGCGAACAGGAUUAGAUACCCUGG
rnacentral:rRNA from 2 species